UACGUAGGGCGCAAGCGUUGUCCGGAAUUAUUGGGCGUAAAGAGCUCGUAGGCGGUUUGUCGCGUCUGCUGUGAAAACCUAAGGCUCAACCUUGGGCUUGCAGUGGGUACGGGCAGACUAGAGUGCGGUAGGGGUGACUGGAAUUCCUGGUGUAGCGGUGGAAUGCGCAGAUAUCAGGAAGAACACCCGUGGCGAAGGCGGCUCUCUGGAACGCAACUGACGCUGAGACGCGAAAGCGUGGGGAGCAAACAGG
rnacentral:rRNA from 1 species